rnacentral:rRNA from 1 species
GAUGAACGCUGGCGGCGUGCCUAAUACAUGCCAGUCGAGCGAACAGACGAGGAGCUUGCUCCUCUGACGUUAGCGGCGGACGGGUGAGUAACACGUGGAUAACCUACCUAUAAGACUGGGAUAACUUCGGGAAACCGGAGCUAAUACCGGAUAAUAUAUUGAACCGCAUGGUUCAAUAGUGAAAGACGGUUUUGCUGUCACUUAUAGAUGGAUCCGCGCCGCAUUAGCUAGUUGGUAAGGUAACGGCUUACCAAGGCAACGAUGCGUAGCCGACCUGAGAGGGUGAUCGCCCACACUGGAACUGAGACACGGUCCAGACUCCUACGGGAGGCAGCAGUAGGGAAUCUUCCGCAAUGGGCGAAAGCCUGACGGAGCAACGCCGCGUGAGUGAUGAAGGUCUUCGGAUCGUAAAACUCUGUUAUUAGGGAAGAACAAAUGUGUAAGUAACUAUGCACGCCUUGACGGUACCUAAUCAGAAAGCCACGGCUAACUACGUG